rnacentral:rRNA from 1 species
GAAUUCACUAGUGAUUCAGGCCUAACACAUGCAAGUCGAGCGGUAGAGAGAAGCUUGCUUCUCUUGAGAGCGGCGGACGGGUGAGUAAUGCCUAGGAAUCUGCCUGGUAGUGGGGGAUAACGUUCGGAAACGGACGCUAAUACCGCAUACGUCCUACGGGAGAAAGCAGGGGACCUUCGGGCCUUGCGCUAUCAGAUGAGCCUAGGUCGGAUUAGCUAGUUGGUGAGGUAAUGGCUCACCAAGGCGACGAUCCGUAACUGGUCUGAGAGGAUGAUCAGUCACACUGGAACUGUGACACGGUCCAGACUCCUACGGGAGGCAGCAGUGGGGAAUAUUGGACAAUGGGCGAAAGCCUGAUCCAGCCAAGGCGCGUGUGUGAAGAAGGUCUUCGGA